rnacentral:rRNA from 1 species
UAAGAUUGUAGUAUCGCAUGAUAUAGCAAUUAAAGGAGCAAUUCGCUAUAAGAUGGACCCGCGUCGCAUUAGCUAGUUGGUGAGGUAAUGGCUCACCAAGGCGACGAUGCGUAGCCGACCUGAGAGGGUGAUCGGCCACAUUGGGACUGAGACACGGCCCAGACUCCUACGGGAGGCAGCAUG